rnacentral:rRNA from 1 species
ACGAACGCUGGCGGCGUGCCUAAUACAUGCAAGUCGAACGCUUCUUUUUCCACCGGAGCUUGCUCCACCGGAAAAAGAGGAGUGGCGAACGGGUGAGUAACACGUGGGUAACCUGCCCAUCAGAAGGGGAUAACACUUGGAAACAGGUGCUAAUACCGUAUAACAAUCGAAACCGCAUGGUUUUGAUUUGAAAGGCGCUUUCGGGUGUCGCUGAUGGAUGGACCCGCGGUGCAUUAGCUAGUUGGUGAGGUAACGGCUCACCAAGGCGACGAUGCAUAGCCGACCUGAGAGGGUGAUCGGCCACAUUGGGACUGAGACACGGCCCAAACUCCUACGGGAGGCAGCAGUAGGGGAUCUUCGGCAAUGGACGAAAGUCUGACCGAGCAACGCCGCGUGAGUGAAGAAGGUUUUCGGAUCGUAAAACUCUGUUGUUAGAGAAGAACAAGGAUGAGAGUAACUGUUCAUCCCUUGACGGUAUCUAACCAGAAAGCCACGGCUAACUACGUGCCAGCAGCCGCGGUAAUACGUAGGUGGCAAGCGUUGUCCGGAUUUAUUGGGCGUAAAGCGAGCGCAGGCGGUUUCUUAAGUCUGAUGUGAAAGCCCCCGGCUCAACCGGGGAGGGUCAUUGGAAACUGGGAGACUUGAGUGCAGAAGAGGAGAGUGGAAUUCCAUGUGUAGCGGUGAAAUGCGUAGAGAUAUGGAGGAACACCAGUGGCGAAGGCGGCUCUCUGGUCUGUAACUGACGCUGAGGCUCGAAAGCGUGGGGAGCAAACAGGAUUAGAUACCCUGGUAGUCCACGCCGUAAACGAUGAGUGCUAAGUGUUGGAGGGUUUCCGCCCUUCAGUGCUGCAGCUAACGCAUUAAGCACUCCGCCUGGGGAGUACGACCGCAAGGUUGAAACUCAAAGGAAUUGACGGGGGCCCGCACAAGCGGUGGAGCAUGUGGUUUAAUUCGAAGCAACGCGAAGAACCUUACCAGGUCUUGACAUCCUUUGACCACUCUAGAGAUAGAGCUUCCCCUUCGGGGGCAAAGUGACAGGUGGUGCAUGGUUGUCGUCAGCUCGUGUCGUGAGAUGUUGGGUUAAGUCCCGCAACGAGCGCAACCCUUAUUGUUAGUUGCCAUCAUUUAGUUGGGCACUCUAGCAAGACUGCCGGUGACAAACCGGAGGAAGGUGGGGAUGACGUCAAAUCAUCAUGCCCCUUAUGACCUGGGCUACACACGUGCUACAAUGGGAAGUACAACGAGUCGCAAAGUCGCGAGGCUAAGCUAAUCUCUUAAAGCUUCUCUCAGUUCGGAUUGUAGGCUGCAACUCGCCUACAUGAAGCCGGAAUCGCUAGUAAUCGCGGAUCAGCACGCCGCGGUGAAUACGUUCCCGGGCCUUGUACACACCGCCCGUCACACCACGAGAGUUUGUAACACCCGAAGUCGGUGAGGUAACCUUUUGGAGCCAGCCGCCUAAGGUGGGAUAGAUGAUUGGGGUG